GCUGGCGGCGUGCCUAACACAUGCAAGUCGCACGAGAAAGUGGAGCAAUCCAUGAGUAAAGUGGCGCACGGGUGAGUAACACGUGAAUGAUCUACCUCCGAGUGGGGAAUAACCUAGAGAAAUCUGGGCUAAUACCGCAUAACACUUACGAGUCAAAGCAGCAAUGCGCUUGGAGAGGAGUUCGCGGCCGAUUAGUUAGUUGGCGGGGUAAUGGCCCACCAAGACGAUGAUCGGUAUCCGGCCUGAGAGGGCGCACGGACACACUGGAACUGAAACACGGUCCAGACUCCUACGGGAGGCAGCAGUGGGGAAUUUUGCGCAAUGGGGGAAACCCUGACGCAGCAACGCCGCGUGGAGGAUGAAAUCCCUUGGGAUGUAAACUCCUUUCGAUCGGGACGAUUAUGACGGUACCGGAAGAAGAAGCCCCGGCUAACUUCGUGCCAGCAGCCGCGGUAAUACGAGGGGGGCAAGCGUUGUUCGGAAUUAUUGGGCGUAAAGGGCGCGUANGCGGUUUGACAAGUCUGAUGUGAAAUCUCUGGGCUCAACUCAGAGUCUGCAUUAGAAACUGUCGGGCUANAGUAUGGGAGAGGUGCGUGGA
rnacentral:rRNA from 1 species